UUCGCAAUGCCCGAAAGGGUGACGAAGCGACGCCGCGUGGGUGAGGAAGGCCUUCGGGUUGUAAAGCCCUGUCAGGAGUUAAGAAAUGUAAGUGUGCUAAUAUCGCAUUUACUUGACGAAGGCUCCAAAGGAAGUCACGGCUAACUCUGUGCCAGCAGCCGCGGUAAUACAGAGGUGGCAAGCGUUGUUCGGAAUUAUUGGGCGUAAAGAGCACGUAGGUGGGUUUGUAAGUCAGAUGUGAAAGCCUCCUGUUCAACGGGAGAAUUGCAUCUGAAACUACUGAUCUUGAGUAUAGGAGGGGAGAAUGGAACUUCUGGUGGAGCGGUGAAAUGCGUAGAUAUCAGAAGGAACGCCGGCGGCGAAAGCGAUUCUCUGGCCUAUUACUGACACUCAGUGUGCGAAAGCUAGGGGAGCAAACGGGAUUAGAUACCCCGGUAGUCCUAACUGUAAACGAUGGGCACUAAGUAGAGGGGUUUU
rnacentral:rRNA from 1 species